UUCCUCCCUGUAGUUUGAUAAAAAGGUGUAUUCUUUCUAUUUGUUGUUACCAUAUAGUAUUAGCAAGUUAUAUUAAUAAUAUGUGUCUUUAAGACAAAAGAAAAAGGCUUGCAUUUAUUAACUGAAUUUGGUCCAUAUGUGUUAAUUGAUAUGCAAUAGAGUUUUCACAUGUGUUGUAGGUGAUGCAUAUAACACUGGAGCUUUUUUCAUUGUUCUCCUCAACUGAAAAGGCUAGACAGAAGAGCUGUUACCAAGAACAUAAAACUCACUAAAGUGCAUGUCUGAAUUUAGUAGACCUUCCAUAGUAACCAUGAAUGUAAUUAGAAAGUGCACGCAGGGAUUAAAUAUGCAAAUUGUACAUUGAUGACCUAUGGAAAAUAUCUGAACCCGAAUGGAUGAACUGAUGAUUUAGAACAGCUCUUACUAACCUUUCAAAUUUCAGAAUUUACGGGAAUCACUUGUCGCAUAUGUCAUCUUCUACAAAAGUACUCUGCAGACAACAAAAUAGCUACUGUUACUUUAGGGCUACAAAAUAAUCUAUUAGACUCAUUUUGCAGCGAUAAGAAAUAGCAUAUAGCAUGUUGUACAGGAAAAAAAAUUGUGCAAUAGAAUUGUAGCGUUGCCUUUCACUUAUAUUAGACACUGAAAAACUACAGUUAUUGUCAUAGAAACAUAGACUGAUUGGAACAUAUCUAGUAGAAUAUAGCCUUCAGGUGCAGAACUGAAACAACAUGCAACAGUACGAUUGUCUCUGACCACCCGGAUAAAUGUAUAAUAGUCCUUCCAUAGUAAACAUGAAUGUAAUUAGAAUUAUUAAAAAAAUGAAUGUAAUUAGAAAAUGCAUGCAGGGAUCAAAUAUGCAAAUUGUACAUUGGUGACCUAUGGAAAAUAUCUUAACUCGAAUGGAUGAACUGAUUACUGAGAUCAACUCUUACUUACCAUUCAAAUUUCAGAAUUAAUGGAAAUCACUUGAAUUUAUAAGGAUUCACACACAUAUCAUCUUCUAGGAAAAAUCUACACACAAUACAAUAGCUUUUAUUACUUAAUGACUACAAAAAUAAUCUAUUAUGCUCAUUUUUCAACGAUAAGAGUUGCAUAUAGCAUCUUGUAUAUCAUAAAAAUUCUGCAAACAAUAGUAGUUGCUGUUACUAACACAUUGUAUAAUAUGUGAUCUGUUAUAUCCUGAAUUCAGGACCUUUACGCAUUAGUCCUAAGGAUAGCUUGUAUACAUAAAUUUAUCCUUUUUCAAACUGUAAAUCUAAUAUGCACAAUGAUCUGCUAAAAAUACCAUUGGAUAUACAUGUCUUUAUACAUUUUGUCAAACACUUGGCAAGCAUGUCCAAAUUUUAACUAACUGUUAGACAGAGGAGGGCGAGGAGUUGAUUAAAUCUAGAAAGAGGAUACGGCCAUGUUUCAAACAAUUUUUUAUUACGCCAAGUAAUACCUGCAUCUGGGGGUCGAUUUGGUUCUCUUUAUGCCACUUGUAAGUCACAUCCUUGGUGGUCAUCUUACUAUGCUUGUAGACCAUGCUGAUCUAUCCUCUUGCAGACAGUCCUACAUGCCUUGAUCGACCUGUGUAUGACACAACUCCAAGAUAGCACGAUAGUAUUCUUCCUACUUUGCGACAUGAUUCUUGUCAAGUGUUUUCCUAUGGACAGGAACAGGAUGAUGAGACGCGACUGGUUGCUGCUCGGGAGGCGGAAUCUUCAACACCUAACCGAUUGAGGAGAAGAUCUUGUGGAGAGUGGACACAGAAGGCAUGGCUUCGAGGUUUUGGUGGCGCUGUAGGAUGUGAGCUGCAGCCACAGGACAGGAUGAAUAGUGUGGCCCUAGAGUAGACCAUCAGAAACCCUAGAACUCGGCUGCUCGAGAGGCAUAGUUUUGGGGUUUCGGUGGAUCUAUAGGAGGUGAGCUGCAGUUGCACAGGAGGAAUAGCUCGGCCCUAGGGCAGACCAUCAUAAACCCUAAAACCUGGACUGCUCGAGAGGCAUAUGGCUUUGAGGUUUCGGUAGAACUGUAGGACGUAAACCUGGACAUCUCUUUUGUAUGCAACGUGUCAGGAUUUUUUUACCAUAUUGAUGCUCGUACGUGAACCUAACUCUUCCUACCUUUUUUUACGUGCUGACGCUUCCUUGCCUAGUCGUUUUUUAUGUGCUGACGCUUCCUUGCCUAGUCUAAUUACAUUGGAUGGGCUGUAUAUGUGACAACGUGAUAGUUCAAUAUGUUGGUAUGUACACACUAAUAUGUUACGGAAAAACCUUUAAAUCUCAGCCAUUAUUAUUUUGAUCGGACGGUGCAAAUAAUAUUAACAUAUAUAUAUAUAUAUAUAUAUAUAUAUAUAUAUAUAUAUAUAUAUAUAUAUACGGCCGGCUCUAUAUAGAGAGCGAUCUGAUAUUCCCGAACUUGCAAAACCAACAACUAAAAAAAAGAAAAAAAGAAAAAAAAACAACUAAAAAAAAGAAAAAACACCCACACACUAGGCCACGAACUGCCCACUCUUCCACCCGCCCCCCUUCCCCCCGAUGCCCUGCCGCCGCGGCGACCUCCCAGAUCCCGCUGUCGCGCGGCUUUCUGGCGCCGCCUCCCCUGCCUCCUCCUAGAACCAGCGCCACCGACCUACCUCCUUCCGGCGCGCCGACGACCUCACCCCGCCCCAACCGACGCCGCCUCCUUCCGGCGCACCGCCGACCUCACCCCAGCUCGACCGACCUCCGAUCCCCCGACCUCCCAUCAUCCUUCGCCGGCGACCGCCGGACCUCCGCCGCCGCGCGCCUAAGCUCUCCUUCUUCCUUCUCCUCAUCUUCUCAUCAGCGCAGCAGCGCCCUAAAUCCUACGCGCAUCCCCGCGCCGCCACCGGGGCCUGGAACCCCAGAUGCCGUCGCCGGUCCAGGAUCCCGGCGCGCCGCCACGGGGCCAUGGAUUCCCGUGCGCCACCGCACGGCCCUAGAUCCCACACUCCGCCGCUGCGCCAAAGGAUCCCCACACGCCGCCGCCGCCUACCCAAUGCGCCUCCACUGGCAGACAGCUCGGCGCUCCACCAGUCCCAAUGCUGGAUCCAUGGUGGGCUACUGGAUCUUGUCCCCUCCUCUGCGUGGAGCCCUGCUGGAGGCCCUCCUCCUCGACAGGAUGCCGUCCACCUAGGGCCAGUGGGAGCAAGCCGCCGUGGCUCUCCGAUGCUCCGGUGAGGUACUCCCAAUUAUCUCUACCGCUCUGGUGAGGCCACCCUCCUCUCCCUACAGUAGCCUCAAACUUUCCCUCGUCACAGAAGAAGUUGGGUAAUGUGGCGCUGUUGUUGAUUGUCUAGGUUGUAGUACAGAAAAGUUUUGGACAGAAGUUCAAGUGGUUCUACUCCUGUAAUUUAGAGAUAUUGAUGUUGAUGAUUAUGUAAAAAAAUUAACAGAAGUUGAAAGUUUGAAUGAAAAGGAAAAAAAUAGCACCAUUUUAAGAAGAAAACUGAAAAAGCCAUUGUCACAGGGCCGACCAUGAAGGUCUGAUGUUGAGAAGGUCAGGUGCAUGAUGCAUCUCCGGCCAUCCCCUUCCCACCUUGGCCUUAGACCAAAAGAUGACCUUCUUAGUUGAUGAUGUUGACCUUCAUCAUAAAUUUUUUUUUGCUCUGUUGUGCGGUGGAAAAUUUAAUUUUGUUGUUCUGUGAGCAGCAACUUGAGACUCCCAAGCUCUGCAGAUGUCUCUUGGAUGUGGCGUUCUUCUAUGUGUAGCUGAUGGGAACUCUCUGCUACUGGAACAAUGAAAUUAACCGCGCAGCUAGAUCCCAACCUUUUGCUCAUCCCAUGCGCAUACGAUGCUACAUGGGAAAUUGUGACGCACCCUCGCUUGGUGCCACCACAGGACCAGUGUGCCCUCCCGUCCACUGCUUUUAUCUGUGCGCAGCUAUGUGUCUCGCACCGUGGCUUGCCCUUGCUGCUACUGGGAAUAGGUAGAAAAUUCUGUUAAAGUUUGUUCAUGGCUUCAAUUCGGGUGUUAAAAGUUCAGUUCAACUUUGUGCGUAACUAUUGUUUUUGACACUCAAAUUUGUGCUCGGCUUCGGAGACGUUCCAUGAAGUCCCACUACAUCUAUACGUCAUGUUCUUCGGAGAUGUUCCGUGAAGUUCUACUACUGCUGUGCGACACUUUGGGCUCGUGUGUGCGGGUGCCAGUAUGGUGUGCUUGGUUCAUGUGUGCCUUGCAAGAUGCAUGUUUGCCAUGCUGGAUGCUGGCCAGCUCGUUCUUCAUGUGCAUCACUGCUCCUCUAACCACACUUGUAAGCAGCAGCUGGUUCUCUCUCCGUGUGUUUAUUAAAAAAGGAAGACCCCAAGUCAAUAAAAGAGCAUCAUGUCCUAGGGCAUGUGUGUUGGGUCUGGUGUCUCGUGUGUGUGCGUGCUCACCUUGUGGGAGCUUGUGUUUUGUGCUCCUGUUCCGGUCUGCACGAGGAAGUUUAGCCUUAUACUUUGUAAAGGUUCAAUUUGUAUGUAUGGGAAUGUACAUGGGGCACUGUGUUUGCAUGAAGGUCACUGAGCACCAAUAUGUAUAUAUGUUAGCAGUUGGUGUCUA